rnacentral:lncRNA from 1 species
UGACACACAAACAGGGAUGUUACCAGGUGCGCCGCUCUAAAGUGUCACAUCAAAGUCACAGCCCUGCUGGCUUGGUUUACACCUGAGCCAAUUAGCCUGGGAGAUCAGAAGAGGUUGGAAAGGAAUACGUCGUCUUAUUUUUGUGCUGGAGAGAAUCACUUGAUCCCAAGUAAGACGAUACACGGAGAACAAUAGCAGAUGAAGUACGCAAAGGAGGAAGCAGGAGUGAUAGAUGAACAUCUCUUAUGAAGAGGCAGCAUUUCUAAUUGGACAUUCUGUGUGUCGUGACGCUGGAGAUGACUUCAAAGAGCUGAGACCCAGACCAGCCAUGUUGCAAGAUGAUAUGCUAGCCAGAGAAGUUGACAGUGUUCUCAAUGGAUGCUUUGAGGUCACUUGAAGAGCAGCAGCAUCCCUUAACUACUCUUUGCUACUUAUCAGGUAAACCAAAUUCCUGUUUUUUUCUCCCACUUCCCAUUAGCCCAUGUCCUGAAAGAAAGGUGUUUCCUAUUGCCCAUGGCUAAGAUUUGGGUUCACAAGCUCCCUAAUAGCUAAGAAUCUUCACAAAAUAUGUGUUCUUUCGCCAUGAUCAGGACAUAGUGAGAGUGAAUUACUGUCAGCAGUGUCAUGCACCCAAAGAAAUACAGGCAAGUCUUUUUCUUCUCAGUCCUUGUGAAUAUGAGCUCCUACAC